AUAACUCGUGCGUUAAGACUUCCACGUCACAGUGACGAGAAGCGCGGUUUUCGUCAUUUUGGUUUAUUUUCGCUUGUCUGUUUUCUCGCUUUUGUGUCCCCUGCGCCAGGAGGACGUCUUAACUGCCCCGAAAGGUUUUCUGCGCUGUCCAGCCCCCGGGAGGGAGACUGAGAAGCUGGCUUCUCUGUUGGGCGGCAUGCUACUGGGCUGGGAGCCUCGGGCAGCUCCAAAAUAUUGGCGGUCCUUGAUGACCCCAAGUCUGGGUGUAAGGUCUUUUGCAGAAAAAUGUUGCUAUUGAGAUGGAGAAGAAAUGUCUCUGAAGAAGGAUCUGAAGAGUUCCCAGAGAGAAGGAGGAACUUGACUCUGGACCACUGGGGUUCUUGGAAUUGGUCACAAACAGGAUAUAAUCAUGCUGAUGUUGGAAAAUCAGACUGUCACUGGCAGAACAAGGAGGAAGAAAUUCCUGGGAGGAGCAGAACAGUUUCUAUGCAGUGCUGGGCUUGGCUUGGCUGUGACUUGUUGGCUGACUGUAAUGUGUCCUUGUAUGGAAAUCUGCACCCAGUCUGCUGCCCCAGAAGCCACAUUCAUUAGGGUCCUUCUGGCCCUGACUUGGGACAUUAAAUUAACAUUCCAAAGCCAUUCUGGGGAGAUCAGUAAUUGCCAGCUGUUAACCCAGGGGUGGAAAUGAAGAGCUCAGUGCCACUUAAACUUCUAGUUCCAAGUCACACCACAACAAAAGGGAUAAAGCCUAGACUUCACGCUAAGCCCUGGAGGCACAAUCUCCAAGGUAACAGUGAGUCAGAUUUGGCCUAAUCCUCUGCAGACCUGUGUUAAGGUACUUGCUGAAAUGUGGCAUUGACCUUCACCCUUAGUAGCUUGCCGGUCUCUGCCUUAGCCAAGUCCACCAGAAAGCACAAGAAAGUGUUUAAAGAUGCAUUUGGAUGCUAGGUAGUUGCCAUAAACUUUAGCAGCUCUCUUGCACAUUCUCAGCUGUGGGGGCUCUGCUUCCCAUGUAAGGUCAUAUGAUUUCACAAGAACCACAUGCAGCUGGGACAAGGGGGUCUGAAAAUUCCCACUGCUCUGCCUUCCUGUCCCUUAACCUAUACUUGAGAAGAGGGUUCAGAUCCUGGAUUUCUGACAAGCUUCUGGUUCCUGCCCUGUGACUGGGACUUGACUCCUCAGCCCCCCCCCCAUAAAAAUUUCUCCAAGCAGUGUGGCAGUCUGCAUGCACACAAUACCCCAUGGCCUGAAUAUGCCAUGAGUGCUUAGAACUUUCUAAGUGUCCCUAGGUUGUCUGUAGUCUGAGAAUCUGUAGUGGGCUCAUAAUAGGACUAGGUU
rnacentral:lncRNA from 1 species